AGCGAACGCUGGCGGCAGGCCUAACACAUGCAAGUCGAACGAAGUCUUCGGACUUAGUGGCGGACGGGUGAGUAACACGUGGGAACGUGCCUUUAGGUCCGGAAUAACUCAGGGAAACUUGUGCUAAUACCGAAUGUGCCCUUCGGGGGAAAGAUUUAUCGCCUUUAGAGCGGCCCGCGUCUGAUUAGCUAGUUGGUGAGGUAAAGGCUCACCAAGGCUACGACCAGUAGCUGGUCUGAGAGGAUGACCAGCCACAUUGGGACUGAGACACGGCCCAAACUCCUACGGGAGGCAGCAGUGGGGAAUCUUGCGCAAUGGGCGAAAGCCUGACGCAGCCAUGCCGCGUGGAUGAUGAAGGUCUUAGGAUUGUAAAAUCCUUUCACCGGUGAAGAUAAUGACUGUAGCCGGAGAAGAAGCCCCGGCUAACUUCGUGCCAGCCGCCGCAGUAACAC
rnacentral:rRNA from 1 species